rnacentral:lncRNA from 1 species
GAAAGUUCUCAUGUUGACUUGUUGACAGUUUUGCUGAGAGAAGGGAAGGGAAAAGGAGAAGCACACGAUGAUAUAUUUCUAAGAGAUGCUGUGUUCAAUCUUUUUGUGGCUGGGAGAGAUACCAUAACUUCAGCUCUCACCUGGUUCUUUUGGCUUGUUGCUACAAACCCUUUGGUGGAGGCCAAGAUUCUUGAAGAGAUGAAGGAAAAGUUUGGAAGAAAUGAAAAGAAAGCAGAGGUUUUAAGUGUGGAAGAAGUGAAAAAACUGGUUUAUCUGCAUGGUGCUAUAUGUGAAUCACUGAGGCUGUUUCCUCCCAUACCCUUUGAACGCAAGGAAGCACUUAAAUCAGACGUGCUUCCUAGUGGUCAUGGUGUUAAUCCAAGCACAGUUAUAUUGUUUUGCUUGUAUUCAAUGGGAAGAUUUGAGGAAAUAUGGGGAGAAGAUUGCAUGGAGUUCAAGCCAGAGAGAUGGAUUUCACAGAAAGGAGGUAAUGUUUAUGUACCAUCUUACAAAUUCAUUGCUUUUAAUGCAGGACCAAGGACUUGUUUGGGCAAAGAUGUCUCCUUCAUUCAGAUGAAGAUGGUGGCAACUGCAAUUUUGCACAAGUAUCGUCUCCAAGUGGUGGAAGGUUAUGUUGCUAAGCCAAACCUUUCAAUCGUUCUUCUGAUGAAGGAUGGGUUAAAGGUUAAGAUAAAGAAAAGAGAAAUUUAGUUUGAUGUAUGUGGGAAUUCAAAUCUCAAACAGAAAAAAGUGCAAAAGAUAUAAAAUAAAGUGUCAUAUGUAUGUGAAAUGAAGCUAAUAAUGAUGGUGUAUAAGAUGCCUUUGGUUUGAUGAAUGCAUUUGGCUUAUUGCAGUAAGUUUCGAGGUUUGUCUUCUGGGCAAUGUUUUUAAAAUAUUAUAGAAAUGAGUUUUUUUUAGAAAAUUUACUUAUACGAAUAAGUAGUACACAUACCACAUCAUUUUAUUGUUGCAGUAGAAGUCAUGUUUAAUCCAUGUAACAUAAGUUUGACUAAUAUUAAUUGAGAUUUAUUUUUAUAUUCUUAAUGAGGGGUGUCGUAUUAGAAUGACUUUAAAGUUAUAUCUAAUUAAAGUUGGAUAGGUAUGUUUACCUGAAAUUAUGUUUGUUUCCUAUGAUUUAAUUAUUUAGUUAUUAAAUUUGUUUAAAUUAAAUAGAAAUUAAGACUAAAUUUAAAUAAAUUAAGUAAUAUUUGAUUAUACUCUGAAAAAUUAUUGGAUGAUUUAAUAAAAAAUAAACAAUGCACUAGUCUUAAAUAAAUAAAUAAAUGGCAUUUAACAUUUUAUUGUUUGAUAUUUUAGCAUUAUAAGUUUUUUUACGUGAAAAUAUUAAUUAUUAAAUUCAAAAUUAAUAUUGUGCAAUUGAGAAAUAAAUAAGAGUAGUUGGUAGGGUUUUAGAGAUCGAUUAUAAAAAAAAAAUAUUAAAAAUAUAGAAAUUAGUAAUUAAAUGUGGGAAAAUUGAAAAAAUUGAAGGUAGAAAUUUGACCAUAAAAUAAAGAAGAAACAGGGAAAGUUAAUAAUUGAAAUUGUAAUAUGAAUAUUGUUAUAUUACAUAAAAUAAUUUAUCUAUGAAAGGAUGUGCGACAAUGUGAUUUUUUUUGUUUGUCUUCUAGGCCUCCAUGGAUGGUGACGGUUGGAAGAUGGUGAAUGUGGAUCAAUAUUGAUGCCUUUGUUGUCAUUAUUAUUACCUUCAUUAUGAGGUCCUUAGGAGGAUAUGAUGGGACAACAAUAAUACAUGAAUAAUGUCAUAUUGUAUAUAGUUGUAUGAGUGAAUGUUGAAUUUUCAAACAUAUUUGGUUAAUCCCAAAAAAGAUCCUGUAGACUAGGAAAAUCAUUAUAUGGGUAGAGAACCUGUUGUCGUGGAGAAUGAACUACAAGUAGCAAUGCUGAUCCAUGUAUGUAGACAUUGAUAAUUGUUGAAGAUCGGACAAAUUGGACUAACCAACAUGAAACUGUUGACUACAAAAAGAAGAACCCAACAUGCUGAUAAGGAGGGUUGUGGUUGACAAUAGUACAAAACAAUACAUUAACGAUGGUUAAAAAGGUCAUAUAAAGACGGUUCGAGAAUAGUCGUUAUUGCGGGUAUCGUUAUAAAUCAACUGUUUAUAAUAACCCUCGUUAUAAAACAACAUUAACGACACGUGUAAAAAACUGUCAUUAUUCUACCAAAUAAAGGAAAAAUAAAAAAUAUAUUUAUAACGAGAGUUCGGGCCUAGAACCAUCAUUAUAACCCCAAAAAUGGAAUUUUAAGGACGGUUAUGUCAUUAUAAGUAAUUUAAAAAAAAUAAUAUUAUAUAUAUAUAUAUAUAUCCUAAUCUUGCAUAAAAUACCAGAUAAAUGUAAUAUAAUUAUAAUGGUUUGAUAAAUCUCUAAUUUAUACCAGAAAACAUCAUGCAAAAUUUCAGAAUUUUCUGACAAGUGUAAGUACGAGAACUAAAACCUCGAAAUACCUGAAAAAUACCCAAAUAAUACUUAAAAAUAAAAAAAUAAUAGUAAACAAUGGAUUUUUGGAAUUUUGGUGGAUCCCAAUAGUCCUCGGGGAUUGGCCAUGUGAUUUGUUACCUUGUUUCGACAAACUUUCAUUUUUUACGUGUCUCUAUCCGUCUUUUCUAUCAAAAGUUAUGGUCGUGUGAAGUUUCUUCAUGCUAAUUUUUGCCAACUCCAAAUCUAUCACUUUUCUCUUCAAUGUCAGGACUCUUCCAUCAAAUAUCCACUAAAUGAAGUUCCCACAAACCCUAAACUAUUAACUAAUCAAAACAUACAUUCAAAUAUUUAUAAAAAUUUAAAACCCAAAACCCUAAAAAUACUAACAUUUUGGAGCCAAGUCUGCGGUGGCAGUGUGUGGUGGAGAUGUUGGCGGUGUGCAGAAGGUGUUGCCGAUGUGCGAAGGUGAAGAGUUGGCGCGCGGAGGCGAAGGAAACUGUUUGCUUGUGCGUGCAGAGGAGAAAAAAAGAUGCUUGGCAUGUUGGGGAACUUCGAUGGUUGGCGCAUUUUGCGCUGACUUGUGUUGUGCGGUGUAAGGUUUGGACGACUGGACAAGGCGUGGAGAUAUGAGGAUGGAGUUGGAGGACGACGCACAACUUUUAGUGUAUUGGAGCAGAUGACGAGAAUGGGAGAAGAAGAAUGAAUGGAGGAGGGGCCAAAUCUUUGAGUGUAUUGGAGAGUGAGAGGCGAGAAUGGAGAAUGGAGGAGGGUGCAGAGAUUUGAUUGAAGGCGCAAAUGGGAGAAAAUGAGUGAAUGAGUGUGCGUGGGAUAGGUUUAUUUUUCGUUUUUUAACGAUAGUUAAGUGCUAAACCGUCGCAGUUUGGAUGCAGAACCCAUUUUUAACGAUGGUUCAGAAAAGAACCGUCGUAGUUUUCACAUAGGACCAUUUUUAACAAUGGUUCAAAAAGAAACCGUCGUUAUUUUGCAAUGAAAUGUUGAGUUAAUAACAAAAAUGCCACCGUGCUUUUUCCAACGACGGGUUUCUGCCAACUGUCGUUAUUCAGUGUGGUUUUAAAGAUUUGUUGUACUAGUUUGAGGUUGGUUAAACCUUAUGGUGUGUCGUACUGUUGAAAAAUAAUGUCAAAUUUUAGAUAUUACAUGAGGAAAAGUUAAAUGUAGUUAACUUAUAUUGUCGUCAGAUGUCAGUUCCAAAGGUGAUAUGUACCAAAUAAUAUGGUUAAUGUAUUAUUACAUGUAUAUUAUCGUGUCACGUAAAUGACCAUUACUGCUGAACUAAAUACCUUCAAUGAGAUGAUUGUGUUGAUCAAUCCACAUUACUAUCCACCUUUGAUGGUACCUCCAAUUUUUGUUUGUUUUAUUUCUCAUAUCUUCUUUGUACAAUUGAUAUAAGUUUAAUGGGUUUAAUGGAAUAUCUUGUUAAAACCUAAAUUGUCAUAUCACUCAAUUAACUUGAUGAAAUCCAAAGGUGGCAAAACAUAUCAAAUGAACUACUUCCCUAUUAACAGGAUAAACCUCAACAAAUUAUUAAGGGAGCGAUGUCGUCUCUGUUGUAAGGAGUCCACAAGAAUUGCUAAAAUUGUCAUUAAAUGUCAAGAUUUGAUGUAGGUCUGUUAAACCAGUUUUGGCUUUAACUAAUCUAACUUCUUCCUUAUUAAACUCACUAAACUCGUAGGAGGGUGUUGUAUCAAUGACAAUACACGAAACCACCUUGUAUAAAUAAUAAAUGUAUUAGAAAGAACAAAAAUGUUAAGAAUGAUUCAAAGUUUUAUUUGGAAAAGUAAUAGUGUAUAUAAAAAUUUACCUUUUUCGAGAGGAAUCAAGUCCUGAAACAAUGUCUUCUGCCAUUAAUGACUUAAUUGAUGGGAAAAGACAUUUAUUUCAUCCUCACCAACAUUGUAAUAACAACAUGCAACAUCCUAAAUUUUCUGGGUUGAAAUCAAUUCCAUAAUCUAAAGUACGAUACACAAGUCAAGACAACUUAAUCAAUAUAAUAUCUAAUUAUUUUUUUUAUCUCUAAAAUUAGUUUUUAUUUAAUAAUUUUAUUGUAUUACGAAGUAUUUGACAUAAGUGUACUAUCCAUAAGUAAAAGAAUGCAUGCUCAUUCGUUUUAAGGGAUCACAUCGUUGAUUUCAUGAAUAAGAAGUUUGUAAAAGUUGAUCUUGAAUCAAACUAAUUUAAUUUUGUUUUAGUAACAUUUGUGAGAGAUAUGAAUCCCAACAAUUAUUGGUAUAGGGAACCAAAGUCAACAAAAAAUAGUCUUUCUUCACGUGAAGAACCAUCCAAAUUGACACUCACCUAAUAUGUGCACGCUACCAUUUAUUGAUACUUGUUCUUGAUGUGAAUUAAGGGUCACAUUACAUCCAUUACUACUAUGUACUUAAACCUCCCUCAACUUAAGGACAAUAAAUCCCCCAUUUACGUCAUUACAUUUGCUACUCAAUGAAAUAUAAUCAACUUAUAAUAUGGAUGUUAGCUAGCCAUUUUUAAUUUUAUUAGAUGAUUUAACUUAGAUUAAACAACUUGUUAAUACAAUUCUAUUCACUUGUUCGAAAGUUUAUUUAUAACAAUUUGUUAAAGAAUUCAAGUUUAAUAUACUAUAUCAAUAUCAUAUAAAGGAUUUUUACAUUAUGAACUAAUUAUCAAUUAUUUUAAAUAUAAUUUUUUACUUAAUCAUUACAAAAUUUAAUAAUAUAUGUGAUAAUAUUUUUUUUUUCAGAAAGAUUAUUUAAACUAACUAACAAAAUUGCAUUAUUUAACUAAAUUUGAUGUUUUCAAAUGAAAUUUCAUAUUUAAAUUUUAUUGAUACUUCUCAAGAGAUACAUAUUAUAAAUUUCACUCUUAAAAUUCAUUAAAUUAAUCCUUAAAACUUAAAAUUAGGACAUAAUAAAAUAAUUAAAUCAAAGUAAUAUAUUUUUACAAAAACUAUGGGUUUUUACAUAAAAAUUAAAUAUCAAUCCAAUUAAAGCUUAUGUGAUACAAAGGGUCAUUAAAUAUCGGUAGAUAACUAUGAUCUUAAUUAUAGAAGAAAUUUGGAACUACAAAAACAAAAGCAUUUUUAAGAAUUACAAAAUUAAUCACAUUGAAAUGUUUACAAUGAUACAACUAAAUGUACGGUCUUGGGUUAUGUCUAAGGUAAAAACUUUAAGUUUCUCUUAUUUUGGGUUAUGUCUAAGGUAAAAACUUUAAGUUUCUCUUAUUUAGAUUGCUGUCUGGAUACUUUCAUAUGUAUGAAAUUAAUAAGAAAUUGUGAUAAUUAAUCAAAUUUAUUCAGAGUGAACUCAAUUCUUUUACAUGUAUGGUUACAUCUUAAAUAUUUUCUUAAAAAUCCAAUUAAGUGGAAAUAAGUGUCUGACCUGGAUAAGUUUCUCAAUUUUAUCUUUCAACGCUUGACACUCCUUAGUGGUAUGUCCACUGUUUCUAUGGUACCAACACCUACGAGUACGAUCGGCAUUCUCAAGGCUCGUGACCUUCCUAGGUGGUGGAAUCAACUCGGCGCUUAGGGCCUCUUCUAGGAUCCUCCGCCUAUUGACACUCAAGGGGGUAUAUGUCAUGAACCGACUCCCUCAGUUGUCUCUACACCUAUCCCCCCGACCAAAAGUUGGUUGGUUUUGACGCUAUUUCUCGUCCUUCCCCUUGUCUCCACUGGCCUCCGCUCAGGCCUGAUUUCUAAACUCUCUCAACUCCUCCGGUUGCAUAAACUUGGGGCUCUCCGUCUAAGCUCGUCCAAACUUGCAGCCGACUGCAUGCACAAGCUGUCAGCAAAUGGUUCCGACCGCAGGGCCAUCAACAUGAGAUGCAUUGCUCCAUCCGAGCUUAGGUUCCGGAUGCUCAUGACCACUUUACCAAACCUGUCUACAAACUUCCUCAGCGAUUCCUUCUUCUCCUGGCAGAUGCUGACCAGGACGAUGGAGGUCAGAUGAUGUGGUCGGCUGGUGGCAAAUUGUGUCCCGAACUUGGACACCAGUGCCUCAAAGCAGUCAACGGAGUUUGGGGGGAGCUUUGUAAACUAACUUAAAGCCCCUCCUUUGAGUGAUGUGGGGAAUACUCGGCAUAGGACUACGUCGUCCGAAGUAUACAAGCUCAUGUUCGUGGUGUACGCGUCCAUGUGCUCGUCCGGGUCGGUCAUGCCGUCAUAACAAUCCCUAUUGAAGCCUUUCCACUUGUCCGAUAGUUGUACUCCGGUUAUGGAGUCGGUAAAAGGGUGUCGGUGGACCGAUUCCAGAGUACCAGUCGUGGGGGUCGACCUGUUCAGAUUAGACUCGUCGUCAACCUCUUGGGUGUGAACUUUGUCCUUCGGCUCCUCAAUAGUCUUGGGGUUGGUGGGGGUGGUGAAGGACCUCCUAACAAGAUUGGUUGGUCCAGCGGACGGUCCCCCCUCCACAAACUUCCUUUUAAUCUCUUCAUUCUCCUUCCGGAGAGCCAGGAUUUCAUCCUCAUUCUUUCGAGUGAUCUUCUCAUUUCUUCUCUUCAUCUCAUCCAUCUCUCUUUGCAGAGACAUCAACAAUGCCAUAUUCUCAAUUUCAGACAUCCUUUCACUAGCCAUGCUUCGGGUUGAUACCAUCUACUUUUUUCUUCGCUCUAAUUCUCUGGGCCCCACGGUGGGCGUCAAUUGUUCUCAAUUGGGGUUGGGGCCUAGAGAACAAUUCAAGCUGCUCCUCUACCUCCUUGAUCGGUCGGUUUGCACUUCUGUUCCUCUCCAAGCAAGCUCCUUACUUUUCUCUUCUCACCCUACUCCUCGAUCUUCACGUAGUUCAGACUUGGAUGGUACCUGCAGAAGGCACUCUAAUGCUCAAGUCAGAUUUAGUAUUUGGCACUUGGUAUUCUGAGUAUUGUGUAAUGACGAACCUGAAUAUUAGAAUCUGUGUUAUUUAUAUUAUUUUGGUGGACCUUUCUUAUUGGGUCAGGUUAGAAAGUUAGGUCGUGUUUAGAAAUGUAUUACCUAACUCUUGAAUGCUGAUUAGCCUCACUAAUUCUGCUUAGACGUAAUUAACUUUGUGAUGUUGAUCGGUAUAAUAACGGGUACCCAGUCAUAGGCCGUUGGCCCUACUAGUACAUUAAAGAUGUAGCUGUUUCAGAUCUUGUGAAAUAAAGAAGACGUGCACCUCUAUCUACCUUCAUCCCAACAAUUUCUUCAAUUUCUGACCUAACUAGUCAACAUCAUCUUUUCCAACUUCGUACAAUGUUCGUCGUUUCUUCUAUAUUUGCCCAAAACAUUAAUAUACACUUUUCACGUGAACAUAAAUCAACAUCUAACCCUUUAUAAGAGCAUAAUAUCCAUGCAAGUGCCACACACAUCCUCAAGAAACAACCUAAGAAACAAAGGUUUUUGUGUUGUUCAUCAAUUUACUAUGGCACUAUUGCUUGGCCAUGCCGCAGCAACAGUUGCAGCACUCUUCUGCAUCAUCUAUUUCUUCCAUCGGAGACUAUCUUGCAGAUACCCUCUCCUCACUGACUACCCCAUCCUUGGAAUGCUACCAGAGGUACUCUGCAAUCUGUGGCGCAUCCAUGAUUUUGCCACUGAGGUAUUGAAACAGAAGGGGGGAACUGGUGACUUCACUGGACCAUGGUUUACCAACAUGAACUAUUUGUUCACGAGUGACCCCCUAAACGUGCGCCACGUCAUGAGCACGAGUUUCCACAACUACGUGAAGGGACCCGUGUUUCGUGACAUUUUUGAAGCCUUCGGAGAAGGGCUUGCAGCCGCUGAUUCAGAAGCAUGGAAAUACAACAGGGAUCUCAUUCAUUAUCUCUUAAAACAGAAAAAUUUCGAGGGGUUUCUAGAGAAAACCGUUCACAAGAAGGUCCAGAGUAGCCUACUUCCCGUAUUGGAUCAUGUACACCAACAAGGGAGUGUGGUGGAUCUUCAAGACCUCUUCAACCGCUUCACUUUUGAUAACAUAUGUUAUAUAGUUCUUGGCCAUGACCCUAAUUGCCUUUCCGUGGAUUUUCCCGAAGUUGAAAUUGAGAAGGCUUUUAAUGAAGCGGGAGAGACCAUUUUUCACAGACAUGUAGUGCCAAAGUGUGUUUGGAAGCUGCAGAAAUGGCUUCAUAUUGGGCAAGAGAAGAAGAUGACAGAAGCGUGUAAGACGCUUGAUGAGUUCAUAUAUGCAUGCAUAGCGUCCAAGAGAAAAAAUCUUAGCAAGUGCAUAGAAAAAAAUGAAACGGAAGAAACUUCUGAUGUUGACUUGUUGACAACUUUGAUGAGAGAAGGGAAGGAAAAAGGAGAAGAAUAUGAUGAUAUAUUUCUGAGAGAUACUGUGUUCAAUUUUUUUGUGGCUGGGAGAGAUGCCGUAACUUCAGCUCUCACGUGGUUCUUUUGGCUUGUUGCUACAAACCCUUUGGUGGAAGCCAAGAUUCUUGAAGAGAU